CUUUAUAUUUACAAUCUCUUUUUUUUUCUAGGCGUUGAUAUGCAAUGACUGCACCAUCAAGUGGCUAUGCGACACCAAGCCAAAGCCUGUUACGCGAGGAACCCAUCAGAACGCAGCCCUCCUCCCGCCCAAAAAAACAAUGAAUGCAAAAUGGAUCCAUGCAGGAGAUUGCUUUUAGUGGGAUUGGCGGCUCUUGCAUGAUCGGAGGAGGAGGACAAUCAACAAAAUAAGCGCCGACAGCUUUGAUAAAACCCAUAUCUACAGGAAAGAAACCAGAACCGUGGGUUGUCUAUACAUUUGAGUAUUAUAACUCAUAUAAAUAUGUGUACAUUAAUGGAAACCCAUGAAACGAUACCCUUUUGCAUAUUCCGCAGUUUGAAAAUAUGACAGAAAAUUUGCAUAUGGCUGGGAAUAACAUCUGCAGACUUCUUUAAUUGGAGGAGCAGCAAGGCCGUGACAAGGAAUAUUUGCGCCCGUUGCAAAGUUGUAAAACGGCGCCUCCAAGCUCCCUUCCUAUUCAACAUUGGCUAGUUUCGAGCCCAGAUUGUCGCCAUCGCCCCUUGGCACGACCCUGUGGAGCAGUACUUGGUCCAAAGAGGAAAACAACUUAAAACAUUUUGUUAACAGCCCAGCCGGGUCUGUGUCUUGGCGACAUGAAGAUACUGGC
rnacentral:lncRNA from 1 species